AUUGAACGCUGGCGGCAUGCCUUACACAUGCAAGUCGAACGGCAGCACGGGAGCUUGCUCCUGGUGGCGAGUGGCGAACGGGUGAGUAAUACAUCGGAACGUACCCAGUAGUGGGGGAUAACGCACCGAAAGGUGCGCUAAUACCGCAUACGACCUACGGGUGAAAGCGGGGGACCGUAAGGCCUCGCGCUAUUGGAGCGGCCGAUGUCUGAUUAGCUAGUUGGCGGGGUAAUAGCCCACCAAGGCGACGAUCAGUAGCUGGUCUGAGAGGACGAUCAGCCACACUGGGACUGAGACACGGCCCAGACUCCUACGGGAGGCAGCAGUGGGGAAUUUUGGACAAUGGGGGCAACCCUGAUCCAGCAAUGCCGCGUGUGCGAAGAAGGCCUCCGGGUUGUAAAGCACUUUUGUCAGGGAAGAGAUCUUUCAGGCUAAUACCCUUGGAAGGAUGACGGUACCUGAAGAAUAAGCACCGGCUAACUACGUGCCAGCCGCCGCGGUAA
rnacentral:rRNA from 1 species